CUAACGCACGUGUUAGUCGGAGGACUCACAGCCAGACCCCUUGGUGCAAUGAAGGUGAGGGCUGAGGUGACCUGUCUUAGGUGGGAACCUGCAUAUCACCGGCCUGUGUUGCCAGCCUUAUCUGGUAGGUGGAGUGUAAUCACGCGCAAUAGGACCUGAAAGAUGGUAAACUAUGCCUGGGCAGGGUAAAGCCAGAGGUAACCCUGGUGGAGGUCCACAGUGGCCAUGAUGUGCAUAUCGGUUGUCCAUCCUGUGUAUAGGAGUGAAAGACCAAUCAAACGGUCUCGUAGCUGG